AGUGAACGCUGGCGGUAGGCCUAACACAUGCAAGUCGAACGGCAGCACAGUAAGGGCUUGCUCUUACGGGUGGCGAGUGGCGGACGGGUGAGGAAUACAUCGUAAUCUACUUUUUCGUGGGGGAUAACGUAGGGAAACUUACGCUAAUACCGCAUACGACCUACGGGUGAAAGCAGGGGAUCUUCGGACCUUGCGCGAUUGAAUGAGCCGAUGUCGGAUUAGCUAGUUGGCGGGGUAAAGGCCCACCAAGGCGACGAUCCGUAGCUGGUCUGAGAGGAUGAUCAGCCACACUGGAACUUAGACACGGUCCAGACUCCUCCGGGAGGCAGCAGUGGGGAAUAUUGGACAAUGGGCGCAAGCCUGAUCCAGCCAUACCGCGUGGGUGAAGAAGGCCUUCGGGUUGUAAAGCCCUUUUGUUGGGAAAGAAAAGCAGCAGGUUAAUACCCCGCUGUUCUGACGGUACCCAAAGAAUAAGCACCGGCUAACUUCGUG
rnacentral:rRNA from 1 species